UCUUGGUCAUUUAGAGGAAGUAAAAGUCGUAACAAGUUUCCGUAGGUGAACCUGCGGAAGGAUCAUUACAAGUGAGGCUACCGAAGUUGGAAGCAGCGGUUAGGAGCUUGCACCCACCCGUGUUUACAUACUAUGUUGCUUUGGCGGGCCGUGGCCUCCACUGCGGGCUCUGCUCGUGUGUGCCGCCAGAGAACCAAACUCUGAAUGUUAGUGAUGUCUGAGUACUAUCUAAAGUUAAAACUUUCAACAACGGAUCUCUUGGUUCUGGCAUCGAUGAAGAAGCAGCGAAAUGCGAUAAGUAAUGUGAAUUGCAGAAUUCAGUGAAUCAUCAAUCUUUGAACGCACAUUGCGCCCUGUGGUAUUCCGCAGGGCAUGCCUGUCGAGCGUCAUUUAACCACUCACGCCUAGCGUGGUAUUGGCGCACGCGGCUCCGCGGCCCUCAAAAUUAGUGGCGGCGCCGGUGGGCUCUAAGCGUAGACAUACUCCCGCUAUAGAGUUCCCCCGGUGGCUCGCCAGAACCCCCAAUUUUACAGGUUGACCUCGGAUCAGGUAGGGAUACCCGCUGAACUUAAGCAAUCAAUAAGCGGAGGAA
rnacentral:rRNA from 1 species